ACGGAGGGUGCAAGCGUUAAUCGGAAUUACUGGGCGUAAAGCGCACGCAGGCGGUUUGUUAAGUCAGAUGUGAAAUCCCCGGGCUCAACCUGGGAACUGCAUCUGAUACUGGCAAGCUUGAGUCUCGUAGAGGGGGGUAGAAUUCCAGGUGUGCGGGUGAAAGCCGAAGGAAUCUGAGGAAUACCGGUGGCGAAGGCGGCCCCCUGGACGAAGACUGACGCUCAGGUGCGAAAGCGUGGGGAGCAAACAG
rnacentral:rRNA from 1 species